UGAGGGAAUAUUGGGUCAAUGGGCGCGAGCCUGAACCAGCCAAGUAGCGUGCAGGAUGACGGCCCUAUGGGUUGUAAACUGCUUUUAUGCGGGGAUAAAGUGAGGGACGCGUCCCUUUUUGCAGGUACCGCAUGAAUAAGGACCGGCUAAUUCCGUGCCAGCAGCCGCGGUAAUACGGAAGGUCCGGGCGUUAUCCGGAUUUAUUGGGUUUAAAGGGAGCGCAGGCCGUGGGUUAAGCGUGUCGUGAAAUUCCGUCGCUCAACGGCGGACGUGCGGCGCGAACUGGUCCACUUGAGUACGCGGGACGUUGGCGGAAUUCGUGGUGUAGCGGUGAAAUGCUUAGAUAUCACGAAGAACUCCGAUUGCGAAGGCAGCUGACGGUAGCGCAACUGACGCUGAGGCUCGAAAGCCAGGGGAGCAAACGGGAUUAGAUACCCUGGUAGU
rnacentral:rRNA from 1 species